UUUGCAAUUAUUGUAAACAGACUAAAGUCAAAAAGUAUUGUCAAUAAGUAUUCAUUUCUUAAUUUAUUUAUUUUGUUGCCGUUGCUCUAAAAAAGAUAUAUAACUAAUAAAUUAACUAAUGUAUCUUAUUAACAAUAAGAGACUGGUACUUUGUUAUCCAAUGAAUAUAAGCGUGAUUUUUUUAAGCAGGAUAUGCACGAUCUUGUUGCGUGAGAAGAGAUAAUAUCUACGACAGUGAUUGUUAUUACGUAAAGAUAUCAAGCGAUAGCUAAUACUAACCAGAAGAGACUAAUCGUUGUUGCAAAACUAACCCUCUAUUGCUGUGUUAUCUCUGUCUCUCCUCAGUUCCCCACGCCAAUCACCAGCCCGGAGACUGAGCCUUGGCGCUGGCUCGAGUAAGUCUUUACCCAUGCGUCAUGAGACUAGAGAGUUGGAAACAACGAUGGACGGGACUCGGCGGGCAAACCGUGCGAAGUUUUAGCAUCGAUACUGAAAGCGAAUUGGACGAGCGGGAUCUCAGAAUUUGCUUGCAGGAUCAUAUCAAUACGACCACGCCAAACUCACCUGAGGUAUAGAAUUCUAUGUAUACCAAGACCAUUAGGCAGCUAAACAAUACUCCGUUAUCGAUGCGCGCGAAUCUUUUGUUCAUCGUCGGCUUUUGCUGUAGGAAAUAACGCGUAUGCGCUUAGAUC